AAAGAAGUGAUGCCAGAGUGAUGGUUAAAGGAUCCACGACAUUUGCACAAAUAAAAUACUCAAUCAAAUCUAAUGAUGGGCAAACCUUGAAAGAUUCUGUUGAAAACCAUUGGAAAAGUUGGGAAUAAAAGCCAUUCCUGCACCUGAUGUACAUUGGCAUUGUAACGAUCCUCAGAAGAAUUCUCCUUCCCUGCUGUGUAAACAGGAAAAGAAACAUAAGUUCCUAAAAAGAUAGGAUACCCUCAAUCGUGGAAGUUCCUAUCACUCUGCCAUCCCACUGUUCAUAAGCUGCUUACCUUGAAGUUUUUACCAUGUGUAGACCCAGACAUGCAGCCACCCAUACCUGGAACACUCAUGGAAGACAUCUGAUCUGUGGAGAAAAUCACUCAAUGGUAUUCUAAGGGGAGGAAUUUGCAAACCUAGUCUACCUUUGACACUGCAAUAAAAGCACACUUGAAAUGGCA